UGUUAGCUUGAUUUCUGACUUCUCAAUAUUU
rnacentral:piRNA from 1 species